GAAUAGUUAAUUAAUUUUGUAGGCUGCUUACAAAUUUAUUUAUUUUUGCUUUUAUGAUUUUUUAUGACAGAUCUUUGUUUUAACACAACAAAUUCUCAUUUUAACACAUAAAAGACGUAAAAACGUUAUUUUCUUCUAUUCAAUUUGUAAGUGAUCAAAAAAUCUCAUUUCUCUUUAUAGGACCUUAAUUUUCUUGUAGUUUUGUUUUUCUAAGUCUUAUUGAAUGUUUCAA
rnacentral:lncRNA from 1 species